rnacentral:lncRNA from 1 species
AGUUCUCUUCCUGCCACCACUUGAAGAAGGACGUGUUUGCUUCCCCUUCUGCCGUGAUUCUAAGUUUCCUGAGGCCUCCCCAGCCAUGCUGAACUGUGAGUUAAUUAAACCUCUUGCCUUUAUAAAUUACCCAGUCUUGGGUAUGUCCUUAUAGCAGCAUGAGAAUGGAAAUACAGCCAUCUUCUCCAUGUGUCUCUUUACAUUGUCUUCCCUCUGUAAGCGUUCGUUUCUGUUAUAAGACACUAGUCUUAUUGGAUUAGAGACUGUAAUGACCUCAUUUAAAUUUGAUUACCUCAGUAAACACACUAUCUCCAAAUAAGGUCACAUUCUGAAAUAUUCAGGGUUAGGACUCCAGUAAUAUCUUUUUGUGGGGAGACACACUUCAAUCCAUAACAUACUAUAAGAGAAGGGAGCGCUUACCACUGUCCAUUACCUGGAACCAGUUCAGACAACCAUCAUCUUUCUACAUGCGAUGGAGAAAACAGUUCACCUGGGCAUUUUUGCUAUGACAGGAGGAAACGUCAAUAUCAAACCAUUGGAGAAGGUAGCUGAGUCAUUCAUUUGUGGCAGCAACCAUCUUUCCUUCCCGCACCCCCUGGCUAGGCUGCUCCAUGUUGGGAGGUGGUGUGUUCAGUACAGCCACAGUGAGCUAAGUGAGGGCUUCAGCUGCAGGCUGGAGUGACCCAGGGAGGAACUGCCGCCUAUCAAAAGGAAACACCUGCCACAGAAGGUUCACUGAAGCCUGAGAAAAUAAACGUCAAGAGCUCUGGGCUGUGCCACCACCAGUCUCCACCACUAUUCUGAGGCAGAAUGCACCUAUUGGCUCACAAUGCUGUGAAAGAAAACAAGAAAGUCGUGAUGAUAACAAUGCAGUGUCUUCAUUCAUAAUGGAUUGCAGUUCCCCACUCAGGAAGAGGACAUUUUUUUUAAAACUACAUGAUACAACUGAGAGCUUGGAAGCUAUCCAUGCAUAAGUUUUAAAACCCAGCAGCUUCAUGGUUUCCUCCUUCUGUUGGCCUGGCCAGUGGACACAGUGGUCACGUUCCUGGCAUGGAGAUGUCAUUCAUGGUAGGUGUUCUUGAAUUGGAGCCUAAGGCUCCAGGACUUUUGUGGGUUCCUCCAGAAUCCUACAUCCUUAUACACUCCCACGGGGUGCCUGCCCAGGUCUCUCAGACCCAAGUGUUACCAGUGAAGGGUGUCCAGGUUCUUGGCGCUUUGAACAAAGAAUUGGACAAAACUCACAAACAAAGCAAGAAAAGAAAGAAGCAACAAAAGCAGAGAUGUAUUGAAAAUGAAAACACACUCCACAGGGUGGGAGCAGGCCGAGCAAGCAGCUCAAGGGCCCAGUUACAGAACUUUCUGGGGUUUAAAUACCCUUUAGAAGUUUCCAUUGGUUACUUGGUGUACACCCUAUGUAUAUGAAGUAGUGGCCUGUGAUCAGUCUGAUUGGUUGGAAGGGACCAAUCAGAAUGCAAACGUCUGAUUAGUUGUGGAAAGUGACCAAUUAGAGGCUGAAGUGAAGUUACAAAGUAAUACUCCCACGCAAAUGAAGACUUGGCCCACAACCAACCUGAUUGGUUGUGAGAGGGGACCAAUCAGAGGGACUUUCAGUUUUUCACCUGCAAUGCAGAAAAAGGGUGGCAGGUGAGGGGUGUUGCAAAGGGAGUAGCCUCUGGUCCUUUUGUUACUUGGGCACUUGGGCGUGGAAAGUGGGGGUUUUCCUUUUGAUUUAGUUCUAGGAAGUCAGCGUGAAUUGGCCUUACAUUCCCUGCCUCCAGACCCUAUUCUCCUGCCUCACAAGUGCUCCUAGGAGCUGUACAUGCCUGUCUUUGUCCCCAUGUAGUCAGCUCGUUACAGCAAUUCAUCAAUCUAAUGGAAGAAAGAGUAGCUAUCAUCAUAAUGAGAAUAGACUUCUACGAGUAUGAGUCAAUGUCAAUACUUUAUUUAAUAAUGCAAAUUCUAUUACUAUAUAUUUGGUCUCAAUCCAAAUUUGCUUUAAAUUGAGUUUCCUUGCCAUUGCACACUCCUAUCUUUCUGAACACACACCACCCCACACACACACCAUACACACUUGUUUCAUUGCGCUUCAUUUUAUUGCACUUCUCGAAGAAUGUGUUUUUUACAAAUUGAAGAUUUGUGGCAACUUUUCAUCGAGUGAGU